CAUAAGUACAAGGGAUUAUGAGUUUUUACUUACACUGUUUGACCACUCGUCUUAUUUAAAAAAAUUUAGAAUUAUUAUUUACUUUUUUGUGACUUACUUUAUUAUCCAAAGUACUUUAAGCACAACUUUUCGUUUUUUAUAUUUGCACAAAUUUUUUGAAUAAGACGAGUGGUCAAACAGUGCAAGCAAAAACUCA
rfam:Oryza sativa Japonica Group DNA, chromosome 2, cultivar: Nipponbare, complete sequence.